GAAACGCGAUAAGUAAUGCGAAUUGCAGAAUUCAGUGAAUCAUCGAAUCUUUGAACGCACAUUGCGCCCGCUAGUAUUCUGGCGGGCAUGCCUGUUCGAGCGUCACUAAGACCACUUGGGCCCCUUAGCCGCCCAGCGUUGGGACUCUGCGGGGCACUACGCCCCCGCAGUUCCUCAAAUGUAGUGGCGGGGCCGGGCCGGACUCCCGGGCGCAGUAUAACUACCUCGCCCUCGGAGACCGCCCGGCGCCAGCCGUAAAACCCCCCCAUAACUCAUAUGGUUGACCUCGAAUCAGGUAGGAAUACCCGCUGAACUUAA
rnacentral:misc_RNA from 1 species